UAUUUGCGAUAAUUAACAUGAAUUGCAGAACUCUGUGAAUCGUCGAAAUUUCGAACGUAAAACACCUUGGGCAAACAGCCUAAGGUACAUCUGAUUGAGUGGCGCUUAUUAUUAUUGCUCUACAUUUUUAAAAUGCGAGAGCAGCGUUUGCAGUUAGUGACGCGCGCACGCGUGAGCGUGUUUUUGUGUCAACCACUGCUAAAUAAUUUUGAUUUUUUGAAAUUGGAAAGUGGAGAGUUUCCUUCUCGGGCUUUAAUUAGCAACAAGAGCAGGUCUCGCCUUUUUUUUCCUCUUUCGAUUAAGAAAGAAAGAAAUUGAACUAAGUUUUUUUUGCUAUUUUCUCGAUCCUCCCGGGUCCCCAAAAUAGCAGAGAAUUUACUUUUUAAAAUUCGCCCUCAAU
rnacentral:misc_RNA from 1 species